rnacentral:rRNA from 1 species
GACGAACGCUGGCGGCGUGCUUAACACAUGCAAGUCGAACGGAAAGGCCCUGCUUUUGUGGGGUGCUCGAGUGGCGAACGGGUGAGUAACACGUGAGUAACCUGCCCUUGACUUUGGGAUAACUUCAGGAAACUGGGGCUAAUGCCGGAUAGGAGCUCCUGCUGCAUGGUGGGGGUUGGAAAGUUUCGGCGGUUGGGGAUGGACUCGCGGCUUAUCAGCUUGUUGGUGGGGUAGUGGCUUACCAAGGCUUUGACGGGUAGCCGGCCUGAGAGGGUGACCGGCCACAUUGGGACUGAGAUACGGCCCAGACUACUACGGGAGGCAGCAGUGGGGAAUAUUGCACAAUGGGCGGAAGCCUGAUGCAGCAACGCCGCGUGCGGGAUGACGGCCUUCGGGUUGUAAACCGCUUUCGCCUGUGACGAAGCGUGAGUGACGGUAAUGGGUAAAGAAGCACCGGCUAACUACGUG